rnacentral:rRNA from 1 species
AUUGAACGCUGGCGGCAUGCCUUACACAUGCAAGUCGAACGGUAACAGGUCUUCGGAUGCUGACGAGUGGCGAACGGGUGAGUAAUACAUCGGAACGUGCUCGAUCGUGGGGGAUAACGAAGCGAAAGCUUUGCUAAUACCGCAUACGAUCUACGGAUAAAAGCAGGGGACCGCAAGGCCUUGCGCGAACGGAGCGGCCGAUGGCAGAUUAGGUAGUUGGUGGGAUAAAAGCUUACCAAGCCGACGAUCUGUAGUUGGUCUGAGAGGACGACCAGCCACACUGGGACUGAGACACGGCCCAGACUCCUACGGGAGGCAGCAGUGGGGAAUUUUGGACAAUGGGCGAAAGCCUGAUCCAGCCAUGCCGCGUGCAGGAUGAAGGCCUUCGGGUUGUAAACUGCUUUUGUACGGAACGAAAAGACUCUGGUUAAUACCUGGGGUCCAUGACGGUACCGUAAGAAUAAGCACCGGCUAACUACGUGCCAGCCGCCGCCGUAACAC